rnacentral:misc_RNA from 1 species
GAUGAAGAACGUAGUAAAAUGCGAUACUUGGUGUGAAUUGCAGAAUCCCAUGAACCAUCGAGUUUUUGAACGCAAGUUGCGCCCGAAGCCUUUUGGCCGAGGGCACGUCUGCCUGGGCGUCACGCAUCGCGUCGCCCCCCACAAUUCUCCGUAAAAGGAACAUGUGUUUUGGGGGCGGAUAUUGGUCUCCCGUGCUCAUGGCGUGGUUGGCCGAAAUAGGAGUCCUUUCGAUGGACGCACGAACUAGUGGUGGUCGUAAAAACCCUCGUCUUUUGUUUCGUGCUGUUGCUCGCAAGGUAAACUCUUUAAAAACCCCAAUGUGUCGUCUCUUGACGACGCUUCGACCGCGACCCCAGGUCAGGCGGGACUACCCGCUGAGUUUAAGCAUAUCAAUGCGGAGGA